CCUCUCUCAUCCCUCAACCCACGAUCAAAACCCUUUCUCUCUCAUUUCUAAACCCUAGUCGCUGCAAAAUCAGAGAAACUUCACUGGAAAAGUCGAUUUCUGCCGGAUUAACGCCCUUCGUUCGACGCAACAACGUUUUAAUCGGUGGAAGAUUUGCAAUCGACAACAAGAUCCAGAAUGACAAAAAGAGGCCGACCUUUCAAAAGCCAACCCACCCAUACUGCAGCGAAGCAACCUAGGUUGGACAUUGACGAAGCGAUGGAUGAUGUUCUUCCAAUUGCGAUUGCGCAAAAUUUCAGGAAGAAAGUCGGCCAUCUCUACUGUCGACGGACCCCAACCGAGUUCCUGAACUGUUUAAAAAGCCUAACUCCACGCCAGA